ACUUUUUGUGAUUGAAGUCGGGGUAGGCGUAGUUUGGGUCUACCGGCUUCUGAACGACGAUUGUUUGAUUUGCGGAGAUCAGCGCUGGUUAUCCUUUGGUUAAGCUUGGUUUUGAGGAAAAUUGGGGAGCUUUCAUUUAGCCACAUAUUGUUUUUGUUUGUUUUUUGAAAGGCUGAAUGCUUUCCUCGUAGUGGAGCGACCAGUCAUUUGGAGCCAUUGUCAUCCCCAUUCUAGAGCGCUUCCGCGCUGGGUUUAUAGGCUGCCGUGUCACUGUUUCUGGGCCAGGGCACCGCUGUGGAGAACCGACCGCAUUGGCUUCUGUCGGGACGGUACGGGCUUCAGCAGCGUUUGUUUGUGGAUUUCAUUCGGGAGCGUUUAAAGGAGAAACAGGUAUUGUCUGCGGGCCCCUUGAGUUCGGCGAGGCAGGACGAACGGAGAGCGGCAGGAAGAAACGAAGAGCGGCAGGACGGACGAAGAGCGGCAGGACGUACGGGGACCUACGGGCUCGGCUAAACAACAGACAUUGGACAAGUUGGACAGCCUGUUGGGACAUUUGGACAAGUGGCAUGUGUUGAGUUGAAGGUUUUAAUUUCUGAGUUUGUCGGGCACCGGAUGAGUCAAUGUGUUAUUGUUCCAUCCGUUUCUUUGUCUGUCCCCCUUAAGUAGCUUCCGCAGGAUCUGCUUGGUGGUAUGAUGGGGUGAAGAUCGGGUGGUGAGAAUGGCCGGUGUUGGUGAUGGUUUCUAACAGUUGUGUCCGCACGGUUAAAUGGGUGAAUGUGCACAAUAAAGUGUAUGAGUCUU